rnacentral:lncRNA from 10 species
AAAAUUAAUGCAACAAAACACAUUCUGCUACAGUCCAACCUCCCUAGCAACAAUUUGCACCAUAUGCAUUUUAUAUUCCAUACCUUGACUGUGAAAUUUAAUUAAAAAUAAUUAUAAAUACAGCUCCUUGAGGCUACUGAGGAUUUCACAGUUUGAAUUUUAUUUUCACAAAAUAUCAUGCAUCACUAAUGGUCUUGUCAGAAUUUGUCUUCAGAAGAAAUGACAACUCAUCCAGUUCAAAUAUAUCCAAGUAAGCUAAAUUUAGAUGGAAUGACCUGGGAACCUUGACUCAGGGUUCAGUCAAUAUAUAAAGUGAAUAAACUGAAAACUGUCCCUGUAGUUCCAAAUUUGGCCUUGAUGUUCAUUCAUUUCAGAUGGAAGCUCUCAAGGGAACACAGAAAUAGAGCUAUCUUCAGCACUACUGAAGUGUUAAUUCUGCAAGAAAAUAACUGGAUAAACAACAACAGUAAAAUGAAUGAAUGAAUGAAUGAAUGCUGGAUGCAAUAGUAAAAAGUAUUUUAGGGAUAGAGAAGGGUUAACAUAAAGAUAGAUUCAUUUAUCCUAUUAAGUUUUGGUUCCUAUUUUUUCUCUUUUCUCUGUCUUCUUUUGACCCCAAAGUAAGCUUGCAUGCAAAAAUGUCAGUGAAUGAAGUGGAUGCCUACACUAAAAAUGCGAUCUAGUUUGUUUCCUCGGCAUUAUUUGGAAAAAUUGCAGUCCAUAGUUUUUAUUCGGCAUUAUCUUAGAUUUUCUAUGAAAAGGGGGAAAAGCCUCAUUCUGAUUCCUCCACUCACCACCCAGAAGCACUCAGUAAUUUUGUGAAAAUGUAAUUGAUUUAUUUUUGUUUACUUGAUAAACUCAGUGCUUUAGCUGGGAGGAUGUCAGACUUAAAUGCAAUUUUACAGUCUCUUCGAAGGAUACAGUUAGUCAAACAUCAGGCAGCUAAAGUAUCUGUCUGGCUCCUGAAUGUCUUCAGGUCAUGGAAGUAAGUGCCCUGGUUACAGGUUUCUCCAAAUGAACGUUAGGAAUAUUUCCUUUUCUCUACGUCCAUGUUGAAAGUUUUUUCUGUUUUGUUUUGUUUUGUUUUUACUUUUUCCUGGCAUUAUAUACUGAACUCCAGAAGAUGAGGAUGUGGAUGGUUGAGAUAUGCUUUUGGAACUUGGAAUUAAUAAAGGCAGAUGCUAAAUUGCUGAAAGCAUUAAAACCUGACACUGCGUGUUAAAUCAUUGUAAGCAAGGUCCUAACAGAGCGUUUGUGAUUCGUAAAAUAAAAAUUAAAAAAAAAAUAGUGUUCUGGGCUCCCUGGAUAUUUUACAUCAAAGAGGCGGAAAUGAACAACAAACAGCUGAAGCAUUUGUCUCUCCAUAUUGUAGCUGCUGGUAAUCUUCAGCGCUGCAGAUCAUGCCAAAUAAGGUGGAAAAUCUGUGUACUUUCUGAGUACUCUUUAAAUUAUUAAAUAUUAUUUUAAUGUUGUCA